UCCGGUGUUGCCUCAGCGAGGGGCGGUAACGUCCGGGUGUUGCCACGGCAACGGUAAACUAUCAUGGCGGUGGUGGGCGUGUCUCAUGGAGUGGGGCUUUCAGCGCCUCUUCCCAGUUACCGCCAAUCUUCAAUCUGAUGUGGAGCCCUGUCCUGGCUGCCUCCUACCUCAUAAUGAACAUUUGUUUGUGCUCGAUAUUUUUUGAUGAAUGUAUCAUUUGACUUGGUCAUGUGUCACUCAAUGCAAUGCGUCACACGUUGUUCAGCUUUUUGUUGCUAUGGGAACCUCACAGAAUGUACUUACACAAACCUGGAUGACAGAGCCUGACAUAUGAGGCUAUGUGCUAUGGCCUUUUGCUCCUAGGCUAGAAGCCUGUAGUUAAUGUGGCUGUACAGAAUACUGGAGCCAACUGUAACACAAUGCUAGGGUUGCUGGAAUCAGAUUGAGGUGGCUGGGAUAACACACAUGUGCCUGAACUUCCAAGGAAGCCUGAAGGUGUGACAAGCUGGCUACCAUCACUUAUUCUGCAGCCAUCAUCAUCCAGUGACACCUGUGGGGAAGGACCCAGGGACCUGCAGGAAGCAAACGAUCACCAAUCCCGGCAGAGGCUGAAGGUGGCAAGCGUGAGGAACACAUUCUGAGAAAGAGUAAACACAUCCAGAAAAGCUGCUCACGGAUGUGAGCGGGAGGCAUGUCUGGGCAUUGACUUAAGCAGCCAUUUCUGUAAUGAAGUGGUGCCAUUCUCUUAAGUAUGACGGGGUUUUGGAAAGCACUUUGCAAAGUUGGAAGCCAUUCCAGUGCUUCUGGUGUUCGUUUUCUUUUUUCCUUUUCCCAAAGCCAAGGUUUCCAGCUCAGAGGUGAUGCUGAAGGUCCACAGCGGGUGUCCCUUUCCUCCAUUUCCAGAGUCCAUGAAUAAACCUGGUGCAGACUUGUGUGGGGGGAUCCCUCACUGCUGCUGC